rnacentral:rRNA from 1 species
AACGAACGCUGGCGGCAGGCUUAACACAUGCAAGUCGAACGCCCCGCAAGGGGAGUGGCAGACGGGUGAGUAACGCGUGGGAAUCUACCCAUCCCUACGGAACAACUCCGGGAAACUGGAGCUAAUACCGUAUACGCCCUUAGGGGGAAAGAUUUAUCGGGGAUGGAUGAGCCCGCGUUGGAUUAGCUAGUUGGUGGGGUAAAGGCCUACCAAGGCGACGAUCCAUAGCUGGUCUGAGAGGAUGAUCAGCCACAUUGGGACUGAGACACGGCCCAAACUCAUAAGGGAGGCAGCAGUGGGGAAUAUUUGACAAUGGGCGCAAGCCUGAUCCAGCCAUGCCGCGUGAGUGAUGAAGGCCUUAGGGUUGUAAAGCUCUUUCACCGAUGAAGAUAAUGACGGUAGUCGGAGAAGAAGCCCCGGCUAACUUCGUGCCAGCCGCCGCAGUAACAC